rnacentral:rRNA from 1 species
AUACGUAGGUGGCAAGCGUUAUCCGGAAUUAUUGGGCGUAAAGGGAGCGCAGGCGGUUUAUUAAGUUUAUGGUGAAAGUUCGGGGCUCAACCCCGUGAUGCCAUAGAAACUGGUAGACUUGAGUGCAGGAGAGGUUAGGGGAAUUCCAUGUGUAGCGGUAAAAUGCGUAGAUAUAUGGAGGAACACCAGUGGCGAAGGGGGCUAACUGGCCUGUAACUGACGCUGAGGCUCGAAAGCGUGGGGAGCAAAUAGGAUUAGAUACCCUAGUAGUCCACGCCGUAAACGAUGGAUACUAAGUGUUGGAGAAAUUCAGUGCUGUAGUUAACGCAAUAAGUAUCCCGCCUGGGGAGUAUGCGCGCAAGCGUAAAACUCAAAUGAAUUGACGGGG